rnacentral:rRNA from 1 species
AACGAACGCUGGCGGCAGGCCUAACACAUGCAAGUCGAGCGAGGACUUCGGUUCUAGCGGCGGACGGGUGAGUAACGCGUGGGAAUGUGCCCUUCUCUACGGAAUAGCCCUGGGAAACUGGGAGUAAUACCGUAUACGCCCUAUUGGGGAAAGAUUUAUCGGAGAAGGAUCAGCUCGCGUUGGAUUAGGUAGUUGGUGGGGUAAUGGCCUACCAAGCCGACGAUCCAUAGCUGGUUUGAGAGGAUGAUCAGCCACACUGGGACUGAGACACGGCCCAGACUCCUACGGGAGGCAGCAGUGGGGAAUCUUAGACAAUGGGGGCAACCCUGAUCUAGCCAUGCCGCGUGAGUGAUGAAGGCCUUAGGGUUGUAAAGCUCUUUCAGCUGGGAAGAUAAUGACGGUACCAGCAGAAGAAGCCCCGGCUAACUCCGUG